rnacentral:lncRNA from 1 species
CUAGAGAUCGCCCGCCGUCGCCCCUGGGAGCUCCGGCCGCCGCCGUGUCCGCCGUCAUCUCUGGACCCGAGCCCUAGCUCGUGUGGGCUUGCCUUGUUCCGCCGCCGCCGCUACUUCCAAUCGCCACCCGAGGUGAGCUUGGUACUCCUCGCCUUCCCCGCAACCUUCCCUGGCCCGUGCGCACCUCGUCGUGCCGCCGGUGGCCGGCCGGAGCAAGCUUGCUCCGGCCAAGCCCGAAAUAGCGCUUAGUUGAGUAGGUUUGCUGUUCCGAGCUACCCGAGGCUCCCCGACCUCUGCGGAAGGGAGCACAGUGAUUCUAGCAAGUUGCUGAUCAUCGUGCUUACCUUAGAUGCUGUCGGGGAGACUCCGUUCCGCUGUUUUGGCAGUGUCGACCCUGUUGAGCUUUUUCAGCUGCUGUUCCGUGCUUACGCGCGUUUUUCCGACGAUCCGAGACUGUUUCGAUGCCUCCGGAGGUGAGCACGGUGAUUGUUGGUCAGUUCUGAUCACAGUGCUUACCUUACUUUGGAUCAGUGGAUGUCGUAUCGGCUUGUUCGGCGCAAUUUUCCCCGACUGCGCGCUGUUCGCUGAACCUUCCGGUUGCUCCCGCGCUUCCCACAGUGAGCCGUUGCGCUCCGGACCAUGAGAACGGCCUUUGGCACGUCGAGACCUGUCAGUACGUGUCUCAGCGGACCUUAGAAGUUCUCGGUUUGCAUGAACGAGCCACUUAAUUGCCGGAAUUACAUAAAAUGAUAGAAUUUUAUUGAAAUUAAGGGGCUUUUAUGUAAUUGUGCACCUUGUGGCUACUGUGGGCAGUGCACGUCCGUGUGUGGAGACCUCUGGACUGAUUGUCCAUGAUCCGAUAGCAUUUGCGGAAAUCGAGGAGUCGAUUUCGGUGCGUUUUUCGGCGAAAUUGGCCGAAAGAAUGCGGUUUCGGUUCGGAUUUCUUCCGACGUGGUUUGGUUGCCCUGUGAGUUGUCACUGAGCCUUGUCGGCUGGUCACUAUCAUCAUAUAGGGGGUUCGAUGAUGAUGGGUGAGUGAUGGAGGGUUCCGGUGUCGAAAUAGACGCUUCCGGGAACCCGAAUUUGUACAAUUAUCCGGCGAUAAUUGUAUAGUAGUGUUACCUUAUGUUUGCUGCCAAGACAUCCAAAUCAGAGUGAUUUGUGGCAGCGGGUAACUCGUGAUACGAGUUGGUGAGUUUCGGUACACUUAGUGGGUCCCGAUAGAUUUCGGUGUGGUUUUUGGGACUUCCGGUGAGUUACGGUGAUCGAUUUUGGGAAACCGAUUCGGGGACUUGUGUGGGGGUUUGUGAGUCUCGUACUUUGGGUUAGUGGGUUGGUUACUGACCUGGCGGACCUUCGUAGGUCCGGUUGACGAUCGUGUACAGUUGGGAGACAGGUGCGACACUAGUACAGGUGGGUGCUUCGAGCUGGUAGUCGGUAAGAUCGUUUCAUCCUUCUUCUGUUCUUUCAUAUCAGUAUUGUAGUCUCUACAUGUCUUUGCUUUGAUUAUCAUUCGUAUAUCUUACUUUGUUGGUUGCAUUUUGUUAGUUGUUGAUAGACAUGUAGAGCAGGUUGCAUAUAUAUAUUGUAUAUAUCUGUGGACCUUGGGUCUAGGCAACACAUCGACUCCUUUGUUCUGUGUUUCGAUCUGGUUGAUCGUGAUUCGGCGUUGGACCCCCUUGCACCUGGCUUCGGCCAAGGCACCGGUCUCUUUUUGCCGGUCUUCGUUUUGAGCAUAUCAGCAUGAUUUAGUCACAGCACUGUGUAUUCUAGACACCAGGUUGGUUUGGCCACUAAGGGGUGUACGUAUCCGGAUAGGUCGUCGGUGACGCAUGAAUAAGUUGCCAGUGUCUGCUCUGUGACAGGUAACGCUUGAGGUCUGCGGACCAAUAUAGCAACAUCAGAUUGGGUUUGGUUUGGACUAUUUACCCUUGAG